AAUAAAUUUUUUAUGGUUUAAAAAUUUUAUUUAAAAUUUAUUUUACAUAUAAAUUUUAGUAUUAAUUUUAAAUUAUUUAAAUAAUAUUUAAUUUAUGAUAGUAGUAAUUAAUAUUAAAUUAUUUAAGAAAUUAAGAUUUAGUAAUAUUUUAAUUAAUAACAAAUUUUGUGCCAGCAGUUGCGGUUAUACAAAAAUUAAAUUAAAUUUUAUUGAUUAUUAAUUAAUAAUUUAAUUUAUAUAAUUAAAAUUUUAAAUUAUUAGGUGAAAUUUUAAUUUAAUUAAAUUUUAUGAUUAUAUUUUAUGAUUUAAUAAAUUUUAUAAAAAACUAGGAUUAGAUACCCUAUUAUUAAAAUUUAAAAUUAAAAUAUCAAAAUAGUAAAUAAAUAUUUAUUGAAACUUAAAUAAUUUGGCGGUAUUUUAGUUCAUUUAGAGGAAUCUGUUUAAUAAUUGAUAAUCCACGAAUAAAUUUACUUAAUUUAUUAUUUUGUAUAUCGUUGUUAAAAAAAUAUUUUUUAAUAAAAUUAAUAUUUAAAAAUUAUUAUAUAAAUUUAAAUCAGAUCAAGAUGCAGAUUAUAAUUAAGAAUAUAAUGGAUUACAAUAAAUUUAUUUAAAUGAAUAUUAAUUUGUAAAAAUUAAUUGAAAGUGGAUUUAAAUGUAAUUUUAUUUAAUUUCCUAAAAUGAUUAAAAAUUAAAAUAUGUACAUAUUGCCCGUCGCUUUCAUAUAUUAGUAAGUUGAAAUAAGUUGUAACAAAGUAGAGGUACUGGAAAGUGUUUCUAGAAAGAA
rnacentral:ncRNA from 1 species